rnacentral:lncRNA from 1 species
UUUUUUUUUCUAUCAUCCUCUUCUUUUUUUUUUUUGAGGUUCUUGGCUUCUUUUUUUUAUCUUCUGUUUUGCUCAAAUUUGUGUUAUGAUUUCUCAUCUUUGCCAGGAGAAAGUUACUAAUCCUCUAUUUGAGAGGAGGCCGAAGCAAUUCGGUAUUGGUGGAGCUUUGCCUCCUAAGAAGGAUCUCUCUCGGUACAUCAAAUGGCCUAAAUCAAUCCGUCUUCAAAGGCAGAAGAGGAUCCUUAAGCAGAGGUUGAAGGUCCCCCCAGCUCUUAACCAAUUCACCAAGACUCUUGACAAGAAUCUUGGUAUGUCCAUUCCCUUCUCAAUGGCUUUUCUUUUUUGUUUUUGCUCUUUACUCUUCAAACACCACACAUUGUUUUCGAUUUGCUCUGUUUAUUUCUUGUUAUCGAUAUAUUUCCCAGUUUUGUAGAUUUUCUGGUUUAUCAUGCGUUGUUGCUGCAACUUUAUGACAAGACUUUGGUUUGUUUAUGUAUUUCUGUCUCUUAAUUCAGUGCCUGACUAUAUUCAUUAUUAAUGAUUGCAGCCACCAACCUCUUCAAGGUCCUUCUGAAGUACAGGCCAGAAGACAAAGCUGCCAAGAAAGAUCGUCUUCUCAAGAAAGCUCAAGCUGAAGCUGAGGGAAAGACUUCCGAGUCUAAGAAGCCCAUUGUUGUGAAAUAUGGCCUC